UAAAACCUAUUUAUAAUGGCGGCAUUUCAUCUUAUUAAAGGAACCUGUUUUUUAAUCGAUAAUUCACGGUAAUUUUCACUUUAAUUAAAAAUUUAUAUACCGCCAUCUAAAGAAUUAAUUUAAUUAUAUUAUUCUUAUUAAAAAAUAAAAAGUUAGGUCAAGGUGUAAUUUACAUUAAAGUUUUAAUGGGUUACCUUAAAAAAAAUUUAAGAAUUAAUAUACAUAAACAUAUUAUGAAAAAGAAUUCAAAAGUAAUAUUAUAAUAAUAUUAUAUUAUG
rnacentral:rRNA from 1 species